UCUCCUUCCACGGGCCAGCGCAGAGGGGAGCAGAGGAACAGUUCGCCGCGUAGCAGCCGCUGGGGCGCUGGGAGCGGCGGGAAGGGUGGAAGAAGGCAGGCGCAGAGGCCCGGAGAGGCGGGAGCCAGGUCGCGGCCCCGCAGCCGCUCCGGUCUCAGUCCGGGUAUUCUCGGUGGCAGAGCCCGGGCCUGGCCGCCGGCGCCGCGGGUGGGAGGACGGCGCCUGGAGCGGAGCCCGGAGGCGCGAAGAGGAGGAGCGGGUCUCAGUCCUGGGAGCGGGAACAGCGCAGGCAAGCCGGGGAACCUCGGGGGCGGUGACCGAGGGCUGGACAGCUCGGGUCACCGCGGGACCCCACUAGGGGACUACGGGGAACCGGCCUCACCCGCGGAGCGCUGAGAAUAACCCAGCGGGCAUUCAAACUGGCGAGUCCGGCUGCGUUCCUGCGGCCCGCGCCCAGCCGAGCCCUGAUUGGCGUUCACGCAGCCAAUCAUAGCCUCAGGGCCUGAGGUGGGUGGGGCCGGAGCGGGCCGGGCGCGCCCGCGGAGGCGGACCCCGAGGACCCUGUCUUCUGGGUGCGCCAGAAACGGAGGGGGGCCGGUUGGCGCGUCCCGCUUCUCCGCGCCUCGUUGGAAGGCCACACCCGGGCCUGGAGACCUGGACAGAAGCGGACACUGCGACUCAAAACCCCAGGCUCAAUGGGAGAUGCCUACCGUGCAAAGUCCCGGAGCGCUGGCCUGGAGGAAGAGGGCGUCCCGCGCCUGUGCAAAUACCUGGAGAACGCGCGGGAGACGAUGCUGCUGCAGGCUUUCCCAGAUUUUUCACCAGUGAUUCAAUGGGAGGAAACCAGGUCCCAGACUUGAUUAAAAACAAACAAAAAAACCCUAGGUAUCGAAAGAGGGUAACAACCUCGUCUUCAAGUAAAUAAAGGGAGGGAUUCAAAUUAUAAGGCAAAGGAAAAAUUGGUUCUUUGCUGUGGGGAAGAGUUGCUGAAAAUUAAAGAACAAUCUCCUGAGCUGAAGGAAGCUUUGGGUUUGGUAAUUUGGGGUGUGGGGCAGGCCUUCCAGAAUGCCAAGGGCGUCAAGACUAGUGUGUCUCGCCCUUAGUGUUUCCUUCCUCCAUUUGAGAGAGCUUUCUGGCAUAGAACAAAAAAAAAGUUCACCCCUUCUUGUCUCUGCUGACACCUAGAUUCUUCUCAGCUGUAUGUCCCUGUUCCUAUUAGGGUAACACAGGAUGGGGGAAGAAUAGCUCAGUGAUCUUCCCUUCACAUCUCCCCUAAAAGCAUUGUGAAAUAUCAUGUGCCCCCUCCCACAGGCUUAGGUUGACCUGAAAUUCUCAGCAUGUGUUCAAAGAAUUGCAAAGAAUGUAAUUUACAACAUAUUAUAUGUAUAUAUAUAUUAACACGUUUAAAUAAAACUGUUAAUCACAUGUCCAAUGGAAUCUAAAUACCAUAACAUUUUGACACCCAUCGUUAAUUUUUUAAAUGCACAAUCUCUUUCUUAACAGUUGGAAAUUUUACACUGUUCCUUUUUUUUCCUUUGAAUUCAUAUUUUCAUUUUAUUCUCCCUAUAGAAUUUUUUUUUUUUUUUGAAUUCUCAAGCCUGGCUGCAUCCUCAUGUAAUAUAUUUU
rnacentral:lncRNA from 1 species